UACGAAGGGGGCUAGCGUUGCUCGGAAUCACUGGGCUUAAAGGGCGCGUAGGCGGGCCAGCCAGUCUGUGGUGAAAGCCUCCAGCUUAACUGGAGAAGUGCCGUGGAUACUGCUGGCCUCGAGGAGGAUAGGGGCAUCUGGAACGGUCGGUGGAGCGGUGAAAUGCGUUGAUAUCGACCGGAACUCCGGUGGCGAAGGCGAGGUGCUGGGCCCUUUCUGACGCUGAUGCGCGAAAGCCAGGGGAGCAAACGGG
rnacentral:rRNA from 1 species